UAAGCCAGCCCGGAGUCACGUGAGACGGGAGCACGUAGGGCUGUGACUAGGCACGCUCCGCUGGAAGUCAUCGGUGUAGCAGACUUCCACGCACACGGGGACUAGUGACGGGCACUGUGACACACCAGACGCCUUUACCAGAGCCCUUGCCAGAGCCCCGUGAAGCUUCCCCAGCGAGUGACCUGCUGGCGUCCUGUUGGUCUGCACACGGGAAGAGUCGAGUGUAGAGAAGAGCCCGUCCCCAUUCCUCCCCACGUGUAGCCAGGCGCCUCUCGCUGACUCUUCUCUGCCAUGUGUGGGCAGGCCGGGCAUUGCCAGGAGCCAGGUGCCUGCUGCACCGAGAGUGACAGAGGUCUGUCUAACACUCUGUAGAGGUGCCAGGACCCGCUCUGCCUGUCCCCCGAGUCUGUCCAGCUGUCCCCUGUGGCAGGGCAACGCGUUAGAUGAUUCUGGAAGUCCCUGUCUUCCCUUCCAGAUCCCCUUUAUUUGCUGUCCUAAAUCAUUCAUGACUUGUAAUAAAGGCCUCCCUGGCCCCCUCCCAGCCCCCCGCAGAAAAUAUUAUUUAACA